UAGAGAAAAAAAACAGGUCAAUAGCCAACAUAGGUGAAACCAAAUGAACGCCAAACUAUUCCAAACAGAACGAGACAAAUAUUUAUCCAAGUUUUAUAAGGUAGUUUCGAGACUUCAAACAAAAAAAAAUAAAUAAGAAGUCCUAAGUAAGUAAGUAGAUUGGAGACAAAAGUGCAUGAUGAUUACUCGAGCUAUUCAAACUAGUCUCACAGCAUGUGCAAUAUCGGGUAAAAAUUAAUCAAGAUAAAAUCAUAUUAUGGUGAGAACAUUGGUACACCUCUAAACCUUUCUAUUAACUAGUUCAAAUAAUCAUGCCACACCUAAACAUGAAAAGCAGAUUAGCUUACAAAGUAGAAAUUAUAUACCAGGAGUAUUUGAAUGCAAAUUUUAAUAUAUAUCAAGCAGGGAAUGUAUAGGGAAAACAUGCUAAGGUACUGGAGACCAAAUAAGCAUGAAGUGAAUUCACACUAAGCAAAAUAAAUAUACACAAAAAAAGGAGACAUGGAGUAAGAUUAUUG
rnacentral:misc_RNA from 1 species